UCUCACCUCCACGAGCUUUGCAAUGAAUUUGCUCCUGACAUCAUCACAGCAAGGAAACAUACCGGUUCCAGUGCCUCCGUUCAGGUCUGUUCCAGUGCAGUAUAACAGGCCUGGUGUUUAGGAUGGAGGGAGAGGGAGAGGUGCUCUAUAGGACAGUCCCCUGGAACAGGAGGCUUCUAG